GUCUCUGUGGCGCAGUUGGUUAGUGCGUCUGGCAGUUAACCAGAAGGUUGAUGGUUCAAGCCCACCCACGGACA